UUACAGCCAUAACAUGUUGAAACAGCGGUUCUCAUACGAUCACUGAAGUUAAGCAACUAUGAGCAUGGUCAGUAGCUUGGUGGCCGCUUGGGAAUAUCAGGUGCUAU